rnacentral:pre_miRNA from 1 species
GAUAGCAGUGGGAAAGAUGAGCUCAUUGUAAUAUGCGCUUCAUUUAUGCAUUUCAUAUUACAAUGAGCUCAUCUUUUUUAUUACUACU